GCGUAGGCGGUUUUCUAAGUCAGGAGUGAAAGGCUAUGGCUCAACCAUAGUAAGCUCUUGAAACUAGUUAAACUUAGAGUGCAGGAGAGGAAAGUGGAAUUCCUAGUGUAGAGGUGAAAUUCGUAGAUAUUAGGAGGAACACCAGUGGCGAAGGCGACUUUCUGGACUGUAACUGACGCUGAGGCACGAAAGCGUGGGGAGCGAACAGGAUUAGAUACCCUGGUAG
rnacentral:rRNA from 1 species